rnacentral:rRNA from 1 species
AUGGUCCGUAAUCCUUCUGUGGUUAACUCAACAAGCCACGCAAUUAAGCCACUUACAGUCGAUCGAUCGUUAAAAAAAAAACGUUCGCACGACCUCUCAUCCCGCCCGCACGACCUCACGCCCCCACGCCGUUCCUUCCGCACGACCUCGCGCCCCCGCGCCGUUCCUCCUCCCGCACCGUUCCUCCCGCAGCCGGGCGCGGGUCGCAGGUCGCCGAGCCGCCCUUCGCCGCGGCCCGCAGGUCGCCGAGCCGCUGCCCCGGAGCCGCCCUUCGCCGCGGCCCGCAGGUCCCCCAGCCGCCGCCCCAGAGCCACCCUUCGCCGCAGGUCGCCGCCGCCGGAGCCGCAGGUCUCCUCCCUGCUGGCCGCCCUGCCCUCCACCGCUCUUAUCUUCAAGCCCAAGCCUCGCCGCACGCCGAGUCCUCCAAGGAGAUGGAAGCUGCUGUUCAACGAGGAGGGUUGUCUAGACGCAGCUGGAAUGAUCAUGAGAGUACAACGUGGGAGUGGCUACUUUAAACAUAUACUAGGAUAUGGACUGGACGACCGGCUGCAGGGAGUAGUGUAUGAUGCGUAUGCUACAACAGCCAUAUUCAUGCAUUGCUUCACUUAUCUUAUUUUUACCAAAGAUUGUCUAUACUUUUCUGUGUGA